CUCAAUUCUGAACACAUGGAAGCAGGUCUUGGGUCAGGCUCUAUUCAUUGAUUGGAAGAAUGUUUGAAAAGAGAAGAAAAAAAAUGAAGAGAUGUGCCAGCAGGAACCACAAGGAAUUUUUCUGUGAAAUUCGCUGUGAAAACCAGAUGGACCACCUAGAAGUUAAACUCACAAAAGAGAAGGGUCCCCCACGGUGACUGUAUCACUCUGAAGUUUUUACCUCUCAGACUUGUCCACCCUGAGCCUCCAGCAAUUCCCCAUUCACAGUUCAGGUUUUCCUGCUCUCACCUGGUUCCCUUGAACAUUUCCACUUGAUAGUUUCAGCUCCUGUGAUUUGUGAUUCUCUGUAUCCAUGUGACCGUCUCUCUAGCUUGUGGGUUAGGGUAGUUUGCCCUGUGACCUCAUUUCUCUGAAGAUCUGAGAAAGCUGUUGAUUUGGUCAGUAUUUCACUUACUGUUAGGGUGGAAGAAUAACUCCCACAUUCUUUACGUGAAGCACUGGAAACUAGAAAUCUCCUUAGUUAUGUUUUUAGUUUCACUUUCUCUGUCUGUACUUCUACUCCAGGCAUAAGAAAUAUGAAUUGCAGUUGUUCUAACAUU